UUCCUCUAGAAAUGGGCAAAAAGACACCUUGUUGGUGGUGGUGUUCUUAUGUUAGGGGCAAAGCAGAUGGUCAUCCUUUGUUCAUUAGCUUGAUGCCUGGCUUGGUGGCCAAAACUAUUUUAUGUCUAGGACACAUUA